AUUGAACGCUGGCGGCAUGCCUUACACAUGCAAGUCGAACGGUAACAGGUCUUCGGAUGCUGACGAGUGGCGAACGGGUGCGUAAUACAUCGGAACGUGCCCAGACGUGGGGGAUAACGAGGCGAAAGCUUUGCUAAUACCGCAUACGAUCUAAGGAUGAAAGCAGGGGACCGCAAGGCCUUGUGCGUUUGGAGCGGCCGAUGGCAGAUUAGGUAGUUGGUGGGAUAAAAGCUUACCAAGCCGACGAUCUGUAGCUGGUCUGAGAGGACGACCAGCCACACUGGAACUGAGACACGGCCCAGACUCCUACGGGAGGCAGCAGUGGGGAAUUUUGGACAAUGGGCGAAAGCCUGAUCCAGCAAUGCCGCGUGCAGGAUGAAGGCCUUCGGGUUGUAAACUGCUUUUGUACGGAACGAAAAGGCUCUGGCUAAUACCUGGGGCACAUGACGGUACCGUAAGAAUAAGCACCGGCUAACUACGUG
rnacentral:rRNA from 1 species